UUCUGAGCAUAAACAUCUAAGCCAAUUGCAUAGACGAUCUCAUUUCUCAAGCACAGUCCAUUUGACUUCUCUACAUAACAAAGCCAAUCGUUGCUUCAACUAUCAACAGGUUUAUUGUAGCUCAACUCACGCAGACAAUCAUCCUGAAAGAGAGCAAAUAUUAAGAGAACAUAAUUCAUAGACUUGCUCAACUGUUUAUCAUAAUAACAAUGUUCCUAAGUUCGUUCAUUUCACCUUCCAUUUAUUGCCCAUUUAGAUUAAACCAGACACGUCCUGGAAGCUAAAUCCUUUUUCCCUAUUUUAGGAAACAGACAAAGGAAUCAAAUACAAAUCCAAAAGACAAGAAUGACCCAACAAAAUCCCAGCAAGAAUCAUCAAUGAAGGAGAAAUUUAACGCAAAAUUAGAUGGGAGGGAAGGAGAUUUAAUUAUUUCGUUUCCUUUUAAUCGUUUCUUGGGUGGGAAAGAAAGAAUACAAAGAGUUAAAACUUACAAAACAUGGGUCGUAGUCGUUUAAGCUUCUGCUCUGAUAUCUAGAACUGGAAACUUGGGUUAGCAAAGGGAUCGAUUCAUUCCGCUUCAUAAUCUGUAAAAAUGCUGCGCCAUUUUCAGUGUUAAGUUUGAGUUCCGCUUACAUUCGGUUUUUUCAUAGUCGGUUCGAAAAUGAAAUAAACAAACCGAUUUCUUUUCGGUUUGUUUCAA